AUUCAUCUGAGAAUUCAUCAUCAGUAAAGAGCAUCUCUGUCAAACCAUGAAGGCUCAGGCAAUUUUGUUCAUUGCUCUGAUUGUAGCUGCAACGCUUCUGAAAGCAGACUGUCACCAAAGGGGCCAAAAAAAUGAAAGGCCACAGAAAUCCAGUGUUCCAUCAUCCCAACCUCCAUACACAGAAAAACCAAUGAGUCGCCCAACUAGAUUGAACAGCAAUGAAGUCGAUAACAGUAAUGAAAAUAGAAAUUGAAAGGAGCUGCACAGAAGUGAUACUUACCUUCUGAACCGGCAUGUUACAGUUACAGCAAAAAUAACCGUACUGUUCUUCUGGAGAAUGCUGUCAAACUAACCUGAUCAUAUUUAGUAUAAAAACAGAAUGUUUAUUGACAAGCAAGUUGUCUUUU